rnacentral:lncRNA from 1 species
CCCAAUCACAACCCAAUCGGCCCAAUAAGCCCGACCGGCCCCAAACCCAGUCAGACUAGGGCAGAAACCCUAGCCCCCCUGUUGUGCCGCACCUGCUCCUGGCUGCCUCACCUGCCCUUCUGGCACCACCCACUCCACUGCGCCACCCGCUCCAAGUCAACCACCUGCAAGGAGAGAAACAAACACGCAAGGCAGAGGCAAAAACAAAAAUAGAAAUAGAUAAAUAGGUAUUGUAAUCGGUUAUAUAAAAAAAAAAGAGGAGAAUGAAAAGGGG